rnacentral:rRNA from 1 species
AUUGAACGCUGGCGGCAGGCCUAACACAUGCAAGUCGAGCGAGUGGCGGACGGGUGAGUAAUGUCUGGGAAACUGCCCGAUGGAGGGGGAUAACUACUGGAAACGGUGGCUAAUACCGCAUACUCUCGGAUGAACCCAUCUGGGAUUAGCUAGUAGGUGGGGUAAAGGCUCACCUAGGCGACGAUCCCUAGCUGGUCUGAGAGGAUGAUCAUCCACACGGGCACUGGGACACGGCCCAGACUCCGACGGGAGGCAGCAGUGGGGAAUAUUGCACAAUGGGCGCAAGCCUGAUGCAGCCAUGCCGCGUGUAUGAAGAAGGCCUUAGGGUUGUAAAGUACUUUCAGCGGGGAGGCGUUACCCGCAGAAGAAGCACCGGCUAACUCCGUGCCAGCAGCCGCGGUAAUAC